rnacentral:lncRNA from 1 species
AUGUUUAAAAGUCUUAAACAGGUUUUUGUUGACCUCUUAUGUGCAUUUAUUUUUAACCAAAAAGAAGGUGAAAUGGUUUUAAAUGAUUUACCAUUCCAAAGACUGCACUCCUGGAUAUUUGGCAGUCUUUGGGGCUCGGAACUUAUGAUAACCCCAAGGAUUGUGGCGCUCCUGGAAGUUGGUCCGGCGCUUGUCGUUCGCAGACAGAGCACCCCACAGGCGAAUGAUGUCCGCUAACUGGUGCUGUGUAUGUGUCAGGUUCCCAUUCACCAUGGUUAUCAGGAUCUCUGCUAGGUUCUGUACGGCUGCAUAACCUGGCAGGUUGUUGGGUCCAACAGAGUCCUGUAACAACAAAUGUAUGAUAUCUAACACAUCUGAGUACCAUCAAUACUACUUAUACAACUACUUAUCCGAACCUCUGUUGUAAGCACAAAGAAGUUUUCAAAGAGUUUAAAUGUUAGCUGCAUGUUCAAAGUCAGCUGUCUAUGCCCCACCCCUUCUCCUUUCAUUAUGUAGCGAGGUAGAGAUCUUCCCUUUAAACCAUGUGAACCCCCCCCCCCCCCCUCUCUCUCUCUCUCCUAUUUCAUCAUCCUCUCUACUGGAGGUCAGCAAACUAUAUUAAGAUAAUACCUGGUCAUUUCCACUAGUACAAAUAUUCCAAGAAUAGGAUCUUUGUAGAUAAUGAGAAUGCCCCUUAUUUUAUUGGAGUUUAGGUCCAUUCACAUGAAUGAAAGGUUAGGAUUAAAUCUGUUCACAUAAAAAAGUAACAUGACCUAUAGUAGACAAAGCCCCUAUUCUACCAGUGUUACCAGAACUUAAGACUUAGAAUUAUUUACCCCAGGAUUAGAAACACAGAGAGAGGAAGUUAAUGUUGACAAUCUUUGAUUAUAAGCAAACAUAUAAAUUGUCCCUCUGCCUCUGCGGAUACCAGUUUGGGCUGGUGGACAAAGCAUUUGUUUUCUUGGAAAAGGAGUUGAGUCAGCGCAGGAAGUAUAGCAGGGAUAUACCCAACUGUCCAAUGAGCCUUUGUAUUUUCUACUCCUUCCCCUUAUUUUUACUUUCGCCCAAUCAGAAUGUUAGGAUAAAUUGUUCAGGACGACUGUUCGAGUGUCCAUCAAGUGUUAUGCCCGCCCAGUCACCUACUGUAAUUAUAAUGAAAUAGUGGAGUUUAGUGUAACAGUAUUUUGUAGGAGGAGAUCUCGGAAUCGAGAUUGUGAAUAUGUAAUGAGGUAUAAGAACCCCCUCCCUUGCAUGCAAUCCUCACUUGGAAACCCCCUCACUUGGAAACCCCCACCUAGCUGAACCCCUCUCUUGGAUCCCCCUCUCCCCACCUGGAACCCCAACUUCUUCUAAUUUCAUCUACUAAUAACUAUACGCCCUGCAAGCAAGUUUGGACUUUGGAGAAGUGAAGCAACAGUUUUGGUUGACCUUCUACGAUAUAUUCUAACAAAGAGCAAGGGUGUCAGGUUGUGACCAUUUCAUGAUCAGCAGAAAGCAACAGUUAAAUUGAAACAAAGCUUUAGAGUUUAAGCUAAAGGACUUUCACACAACCAUCAAAGUGUCCAAGUAAACUUCCAGUUUCGUCCAAGUCAACUUCCAGUUUCGUCCAAAUCAACUUCCAGUUUCGUCCAAGUCAACUCUCAGUUUUGUCCGAGUCAACUCUCAGUUUCGUCCAAGUCACGUUCCCGUUCCCGUACCCCCCAAGUCACCAAGUCACGUCCAGCUUCGUUCCCGCCAAGUCCAGUUCCCGCCAAGUCACGCCCAAGUUCGUCCCAGUCGCGUCUCGUCCCAAGUCAAGUCGCGAACAAGAAAUAAGCAAGUAACUACCGCGUGCAUGUAAGUCAUCUUCCCCUUUAACAUUUCUUCUAAUAUCCUCCCUUUCCCUUCCCCUAACGUACCUGAAAGAGUUGAUGGUGAUAUUGUGUGUUUUAUGUGAACGAAUCUAAAUAUUUCGUCUGUAGUUUGAUGAUUAUUUGAAGAAAGUGUAAAUGAUUUUAAUAAAGUAAAUAAUUAAGUGACACAUAAAUCAGCCUGUGUCCGUGCCUUUUGUUGUCUUUAAAGAAUCCUGUAGUUAAUCUAACUUAAAGGUGGUCCCAUUUGUGUAAUUAUCUGCCCGGGACGGAGUGGUUGCCCCACGGACCCAUCACUCCCUCCUCAUGCAUCAUGGUUUGCCCCUUUAAUUGGCACUCCAAAGGUGUUUGGGUUAGAAUUAUAUACUUAUUUAUAUUUUUGUUCUUGAACAGAAAACAAAUCUGAAAUGCAUGGUUGCUUACAUCAACAGUAUCAGUGUUGGUUGGCAGGUCCUGCGUGUCUGUUGGGGGAUCCAUGGGACCAGUAUCAGUAUUGGUUGAGGGAUCCAUGGGAGGUGCCGCAGUGUAGAGCUCACCACUCACGUCUUCCCCUACCACCUCUGCUUCGGCAGUCAGCAUGUCAGGAUGGAUGUCCUCCCUAUUUUGGAAGGCCUCUAACAUUGAUGAGAAAGUUGACCUGCCCGUUUGGCCCAGCAAGUACUCCAGUCCAAUUUUUUCUCCUAUAAAUAUAAGUAAAAAAUAAUAAAAAAGUUAUACACCGAAAAAUUCUCCUUGUGCAGGAUGUACUGAUCAACCAGGUUUACACCCUACUCUUUUCAAAUAGUUUCCUAGGUUCUUUAGCGUGCAUGAGGUGUGAUUGUCUCAUACACGGGACCUCCAUUCAUCUUCCUAUCCGAGGGACUAGCUUCUGCAGACUUAGUAAUGAGACAAAUCACAAGAACUUCCUAUCCCUCAUGGGUCGGAAGGCUGCCGUCUUUCUUGAGUUCUGCAUACCGCCGUUGCCUGAACUCUUCAAAUGUUUCAUUUGAUGUUUUGGGGCAAUAUAUCGCCCCCCACAAGUUCUUGUGAGUUUCCCUCACCAUCACCUCUUCAGAUUUUGUACACUGCCUGUCAUGUUUGGUUUUCGUGUACGUGCGUCGUGUUUUCCCUUCUUACUUAACCAUACCAUCUUUGCCGGAACUCUUCAAAUGUUUCAUUUAAUGUUUUGGGGCAAUAUAUCGCCCCCACAAGUUCUUGUGAGUUUCCCUCACCAUCACCUCUCCACAUUUUUUGCACUGCCUGUCCUGUUUGGUUUUGGUGUACGUGUAUCAUGUUUUCCCUUAGUACUUUACCAUACCAUCUUUGCCGGAACUCUUCAAAUGUUUCAUUUGAUGUUUUGGGGCAAUAUAUCGCCCCCCCCCCCACAAGUUCUUGUGAGUUUCCCUCACCAACACUUCUCCACAUUUUCUACACUGCCUGUCCUACUUGAUUUUAGUGUAGGUUCGUCUAGUUUUCCCUUCGGCUUCCUCCUCUGCCUUGAUGUGGCGGUACCGAGCUGUUUGGUAAUGCAUGGGGGGCUGGCGGGAGGCAGGUACUGGAACCUUAGGGACUGCAAAAGAGCAGGAAUGGUGAGGGUUAGGGUUGGUGGAGGCUGGAAGGACCUGUGGUGCAGGGGCAGAGGCAAUGGGCUGUUGUAUCUUCCUCUUCUUUGGUGUCUUUGGUGAGCAUGAAGGGAAGGUUAGAGUUGCUGAUUGAUUUAUUGGAAGCGGAAAGGCGGAAGCCUACGCAGCUUGUGGAAGAAGCAGAAAGGCAGAAGUCAACGGAGCAUCUGGCAGACUGUUUCCAGGAAUUCCAGAGCAAUCAUUCGUUUUCAUUGUAGUUUCGCUGGCUUAACAGAAUGGUAGAGUUAACAGAUAAUUAAGUUAGUAUCAAUGUUAUCAAAUUCCAAGAUCAUAUCAGCGUAUUUGUAGCGUUACGUUACCGAAUGUGACGAGUAAGUCUUCAGUUUGAAACACGACGUUGAAGUAACUAGUUGGGACUACUGCGGAGCAUAUAGUAGUCUGUCAUCUAUCCAGGCUUCACAAAUUGUAGAUCAAAAGCAUAUAAGUGAUAGAAAUUUGUCCUUCUCAGAGUUCCUCACGAGACAUAUAUCACUACUACGGAACAUAGGCUUCACAAAUAUUGUAGAUCAAAUUAUAAAUCAAAAGCAUAUAGGUGUCCUUCUCGAACUACUCUAGCCAUUUCUGACCGAAGGUCUAAGUCAUUGUCCUCAUUGGCUACAUUAAACGGUUCGAGAGAUCUCCUCAAAUUUGUGCGCAAAUCAUCUGCCGUUCGUGAUCGAUGAUUGACCUACGACUGUCAAUGAUUACCCUGAUGAUCCAGAAGCCGUGGGUUGGAGCAAGGGCUGGAGCGAUGAAUUUAAUUUAAUUAAAUUGAAUACGUCUCCAACUUGAUGGCCUGUAGAGAACUAGCUGGCCUAAUUAGACUCUGGAGGGAAGUAGCUGCUAUUACUGUCUCAGAGAUCUGUCGCUUUAUUCCGUUGUGAUGUGCAAGAUGUACUGGUCAACCGGGUUUACACCCUACUCUUUUUCGUGAAGUUUCCUAGGUUCUUUAGGGUGCAUGAGGUGUGACCGUCUCAUAUACGUGACCUCCAUUCAUCGUCCUAUCCGAGGGACUAGCUUCUGCAGACAUAGUAAUGAGACAAAUCACAAGAACUUACUGUCCCUCAUGGGUUGGCAGGCUGCCGUCUUUCUUGAGUUCUGCAUACCGCCGUUGCCUGAACUCUUCAAAUGUUUCAUUUGAUGUUUUGGGGCAAUAUAUCGCCCCCCACAAGUUCUUGUGAGUUUCCCUCACCAUCACGUCUCCACAUUUUCUACACUGUCUGUCAUGUUUGGUUUUCAUGUACGUGCAUCGUGUUUUCCCAUCAUACUUCAGCAUACCGUCUUUGCCGGAACUCUUCAUAUGUUCAUUUGAGCUUGUUGGACAAUAUAUCGCCCCCACAAGUUCUUGUGAGUUUCCCUCACCAUCACCUCUCCACAUAUUCUACACUGCCUGUCCUGUUUGAUUUUAGUGUAAGUUCGUCUAGUUUUCCCAUCAGCUUCCUCCUCUGACUUGAUGCGGCGCGGUACCGAGCUGUUUGGUAAUGCAUGGGGGGCUGGCGGGAGGCAGGUACUGGAAUCUUAGGGACUGCAUUAGUGAGAGCAGGAAGCUAGGGGUAUCUACCGCGAGGGUUCUUAUCGUAUGGGUGGAGGCUGGAAAUGAUACUAUUGACCAAUUAAAUUAAUGUGAUUGCUUAAUUAAUUUCAUUAUGCUUCAAAAGUGUCUGAAAAAAAACAAUAAAAAAGAAAUACACAAGAAAUCAAAAACCAAUAGAAUAAAUAAGAAUCUAAUUUAAAUAUCAUUUUUGUAGAUAAUAGUUAGAAUAGUUACAAUAUUCACAGUGGUUUUCACGGUGAUCCAGCGCUCUGUCUCCAAAACCUGGGGGGGGGGGUAGCCUCCAAGCCCCCCUCCCCCCCCCCCCCCUAGUAUUUACAAACCUCAUAUUAGCCCAGUGCAGUUAGUGUUAAAGGUAGUGUUGAGUAUCUCUAUUGAAACAUUAAAUGCAUAAUUUUGUAUGGAAAAAGGCUAUAACCAAUGACUUUUUUUA